AAUCAACGCUGGCGGCGUGCCUAACACAUGCAAGUCGAACGCGAAAGGGACUUCGGUCCUGAGUAGAGUGGCGAACGGGUGAGUAACGCGUGGGUGACCUACCCUCGAGUGGGGGAUAACGUUCCGAAAGGGACGCUAAUACCGCAUGACAUUCCUGGUUUGAGGACUGGGAAAUCAAAGCCGGGGACCGCAAGGCCUGGCGCUUGAGGAGGGGCCCGCGUCUGAUUAGCUAGUUGGCGGGGUAACGGCCCACCAAGGCGACGAUCAGUAGCCGGCCAGAGAGGACGACCAGCCACACUGGGACUGAGACACGGCCCAGACUCCUACGGGAGGCAGCAGUGGGGAAUUUUGGACAAUGGGCGCAAGCCUGAUCCAGCAAUGCCGCGUGCAGGAUGAAGGCCUUCGGGUUGUAAACUGCUUUUGUACGGAGCGAAAAGGCUCUCUCUAAUACAGGGGGCUCAUGACGGUACCGUAAGAAUAAGCACCGGCUAACUACGUGCCAGCCGCCGCCGUAAGAC
rnacentral:rRNA from 1 species